CUCAAAGCAAAGUUACGCCUUCCUGACUAAACGCACCCUGCUGUGAAGCAAAAGGAGGCAAAACUCAGAGAAAACCGGAAAGAUCUGUUUCUUUUAUUACAAAGUGGACUCCUGGAUUGCUAAGGGAGCUGUGGUUGCUACCAGUAUUCGACAUGACCAUAGAGUAUCCGACUACAUAUCCAUUGCCUGGGGAAAGAUGAAAACUUGAGAGAAAAAGUCUUUCAAGAAGAAGGACCCAUGUGAACCAAGACUGAGGAAUUUUGGCAUUCAAACAUUUUAUCAGAGAUAUUUGUUUUGCUGUUUUUCAAGAUUCAAACGGGAAGCUACAUGAUCAACAUCUGAAAAGAUUUUACACCUUGACAGCUCCUAUAGUGUGAAUGUUUGUGUCUUGCCAGAUUCAUAUGUUGAAAUCCUAAUCCCCAAAGUUGAUAGUGGUUGAAGGUGGGGCCUUUGGGAGAUGAGGUAAGGGUGGUGCCCUCCUGAAUGAAAUUAGUGCCCUUAUUACAGAGGUCCCACAAAAGCUCCCUGGUUCCUUCCACCAUGUGAGGAUACUAUAGGAAGUCUGCAGCUUGAAGGAGAUGGUGGCACAACCAUCAGGGUGGCAUGGUGGCCAUGGUGGCACACUGAUUUCAGGCUUCCAGUCUCCUGAACUAUGAAAAAUAAAUUUCUGUUGUUUAUAAGCCACCCAGUCUGCAGUAUUUUCAUUAUAGCAGCUUGAAUGGAUUAAGACAACAACAGUUGAACACUAAUCAGUCACAUGUAGUAUAUACUUUCCUUCCAUAUUUUUUACUUCAUGUAAUAAAAACCUUGAGCUUAUCAAGUUUUGUUCUGGUUUCUGUUGAACAA